CCCUGGUUAGCUUAGUUGGUAGAGCACUUCACUGGAAAUGGAGAGGUCCCAGGUUCAAUACUCGGACCAGGCG
rnacentral:tRNA from 1 species